rfam:Microcebus murinus cont1.114722, whole genome shotgun sequence.
AGGACCUGCGCGGCUUCAGUAGCUGCGGGAGGGGGAGGCAGCGUGCUCCCGCACAAUUUUCAAGCUCGGGUGGAGCUAAGUUUGGAAUCUGUAACCUGGAGGGG